GGGGUCGAAAGGAUUUCGACGGGGAAUGUGACCCUUAGGUAAGCGAGCCGAGUGGCGGAAACUCGUUAAUCAGCCGCACCCGUAAAAAGAAACGACAGUAAACCUGUUUUAAAAGCUGCUUAAACCCCUAGGGUUGGCAGCCGUCUUGGUUCGAAGGACUGCGGUCGGGCAACAAGGCGUCAUUUAGCAGUGCACGUGCAUGGGCGAACUCCGCGUAACCCAUCAUGAAUAACGCGGAUACCGCCGCCUUGAGCCUGCCGGACGGCGCUUGGCAGGCGGGAAAUUAAAUGUUCGGCUACGCUCGUAGAAAACCGAGGAAACCGUUUUUCGGACGCGGGUUCAAUUCCCGCCGACUCCACCA
rnacentral:tmRNA from 1 species